UAACGGCUCACCAAGGCUUCGAUGGGUAGCUGGUCUGAGAAGACGAUCAGCCACACUGGGAUUGAUACACGGCCCAGACUCCUACGGGAGGCAGCAGUGGGGAAUCUUGCGCAAUGCGCGAAAGCGUGACGCAGCACUGCCGCGUGGGGGAAGAAGGCUUUCGGGUUGUAAACCCCUUUCAGUUGGGACGAAGCUUCUCCGGUGAAUAGCCGGACGGAGUGACGGUACCUUCACAAGAAGCACCGGCUAACUACGUGCCAGCAGCCGCGGUAAUACGUAGGGUGCAAGCGUUGUCCGGAAUUAUUGGGCGUAAAGAGCGUGUCGGCGGCCCCAUUAGUCCGCUGUGAAAGUCCAGGGCUCACCCCUGGAAUGCCGGUGGCUACUGUGGGGCUAUACUCCCGAAGGGGCGGAGUGGAAUUCCUGGUGUAGCGAUGAAAAUG
rnacentral:rRNA from 1 species